rnacentral:snRNA from 1 species
GGAUGUGAGGGCGAUCUGGCUGCAACAUCCGUCACACCAUUGAUUACCAGGGUUGAUUUGGCUGAUCUGACUGGCUAGGCAGAUAUCCCCUUCCUCCCUCAUCACUUCAAGUGCAUUCCUCCCAAAGCUGUGCACUCAGUCAAAGAGGAUGACCAUCAUCAGUAGAGGAGGACCAGUCUUCCGUCAGGGGUAUACCAGUAGCUACACUUCAUGCUAGAAUAUCCAAACAAGCUCUUAAAAAAAAUAAAUAAGGAUGACAUGGUAUCACUGUUUGCUCGUGUGCUCUUGCAGUUUGGGCUGAAU